GAGUCAGUUGUGUGGAAAAGAGUGCAGGGACUACGAGAGUUAUGUAAAUCGGUCUAUAUACAAUACAUAUCUAAACUAAAAUAAGUUUUUAUUCGGUUGCAGAUCCACUCGUGAUCUUUGUUAUUGUAAUCUGUAGUAGCUUUGUAUAUUCAGUCACGGGAUGUUGAGUGGUUUGUGGAGCCAUUCAUUCAUGCAACUUGAUCUAUGAGCUUAACAUUUCGGUGAAGUCUGUGUAUUCUCUCGUAUGUUAAAUUUUGUUUAAAAUUGGCAGUUGGUAAAGGUAUGCCACCAGCAGACAACUUGAGUCCUAGCUGAAGCAAAUGUUUAAACGCUUUUCUGCAAAUUUUGUAAGAAGCACUAUUCAGAGUGGGCGACGGGGACGUAAAACAACCCGCACUUAAAGAAGUCUGUGCCUACUUCUGUGUAUACAUACACAAAAGUUACAAUUAACAGUAAUAUUCUUAUUCUCAACCGCAGCGGUAUAACAUUAUUCUGGUUAGUUAAAAUUUGUUUAACAAGAUGGAAAAAACAAGUUCUUUCUCUGUCCGUAAACCAGCAAUCCAAUCAGCAAAAUCAGCAGUCUUUGCCAGCAAUGUAUAUCAUCAUUAUGGGUCUGGUAGACAGAGACUAAAUGUUUUGAAUGGUAUCAAUCUGAGGGUUCCACAAGGAAGCAUGUA